rnacentral:rRNA from 1 species
GAUGAACGCCGGCGGCGUGCCUAAUACAUGCAAGUCGAGCGAACGGACGAGAAGCUUGCUUCUCUGAUGUUAGCGGCGGACGGGCGAGUAACACGUGGAUAACCUACCUAUAAGACUGGGAUAACUUCGGGAAACCGGAGCUAAUACCGGAUAAUAUUUUGAACCGCAUGGUUCAAAAGUGAAAGACGGUCUUGCUGUCACUUAUAGGUGGAUCCGCGCUGCAUUAGCUAGUUGGUAAGGUAACGGCUUACCAAGGCAACGAUGCAUAGCCGACCUGAGAGGGUGAUCGGCCACACUGGAACUGAGACACGGUCCAGACUCCUACGGGAGGCAGCAGUAGGGAAUCUUCCGCAAUGGGCGAAAGCCUGACGGAGCAACGCCGCGUGAGUGAUGAAGGUCUUCGGAUCGUAAAACUCUGUUAUUAGGGAAGAACAUAUGUGUAAGUAACUGUGCACAUCUUGACGGUACCUAAUCAGAAAGCCACGGCUAACUACGUG